rnacentral:rRNA from 1 species
UACGAAGGGGUCUAGCGUUGUUCGGAUUUACUGGGCGUAAAGCGCACGUAGGCGGAUCUUUAAGUCCGGGGUGAAAUGCCGGAGCUCAACUUCGGAACUGCCUUUGAUACUGGAGAUCUUGAGUUCGAGAGAGGUGAGUGGAACUGCGAGUGUAGAGGUGAAAUUCGUAGAUAUUCGCAAGAACACCCGUGGCGAAGGCGGCUCACUGACUCGAUACUGACGCUGAGGUGCGAAAGCGUGGGGAGCAAACAGG